GGGUCUGUCGUCAUAAGCGCGCGCCGUCGCCGCUCGCCGAGAGCGAAGAGGAGCUGUGAUGGCGAGUUCGGCUGCUUCUUCAGUGCGACCGCCGAGACCCAAGAAAGAGCCGCAAGCGCUCGUCAUCCCCAAGAAUGCGGCCGAGGAGCAGAAGCUCAAGCUGGAGCGGCUCAUGAAGAACCCGGACAAAGCAGUUCCAAUUCCAGAAAAAAUGAGCGAAUGGGCACCUCGGCCUCCCCCAGAAUUUGUUCGAGAUGUAAUGGGUUCGAGUGCUGGGGCCGGCAGUGGCGAGUUCCACGUGUACAGACAUCUGCGGCGGAGAGAGUACCAGCGACAGGACUACAUGGAUGCCAUGGCAGAGAAGCAAAAAUUGGAUGCAGAGUUUCAGAAGCGACUGGAGAGGAAUAAAAUUGCUGCGGAGGAGCAGACGGCAAAGCGGCGGAAAAAGCGCCAGAAGUUAAAAGAGAAGAAAUUAUUGGCAAAGAAGAUGAAACUUGAACAGAAGAAACAAAAAGAAGUCCUGUCCACCUCUGAACCCGUCACAUGGCCAGAAAUGCCAGCCACUCGCCGGCCCGUGAGCUGAGAGUCAGGGAACAAGAGGUCUCCCGUGGAAAGGAUAAAGGAUGCCAAGAGACGAAACACAUGACAGCUGCAGACCACAGUCCUGAAUUGGUGGCGCUCCCCUGAUUGACCAGCCAUGGCUCCUGUGCGGACAGUUGAUCCAGUCAGUCUCAGGAGCAGCCAUCCAGUAGCUCUGAGGAAGCAUCUGGAACAGAGGAGGAGGAGGAGCAGCCCAGCUUCAUCACGGGGCGAUGACAGUGUUUGCCGUAGUGGCUGUCUGGAGCCUGGCCCGCUCUGCGGCCGAGCCUCCGAAAAGCCUCCACACAACCCAAGGCGAAAGGAGGCUCUGUUUCAGCUCAGUUCUCCUCCUAGCGCCUUGCUGGAGAGAAGCAAGCGGGGAGCCAUGCUGACUGUGGACAGCCCCGCCUGUUGGCAGGCCUCCGUGCCUGUGGGACAGAGAGGACCGUGUCCUGGACCCUUGGGGCACCGCCGAGCAGAGUUCAUUCACGUUCCGGCUGAUGGGGAACACGUAUCACCUUCUGCCCCUGGUGCCUCUUCUCCUGUUGGGACAGUGAUGAGUUUGGACUCGUUUCUGUGACAGAAACGUUUAUUUAGUAAAGAACAGAAACAUCAGGUUUUGUUCAGACCUGUCUAAUGUUGUUCCAAAGCCGCAGGGACGGCUGGGAAGCGAUGUGACAGGGCGGCCUGUUCCCGGGCUUGGUGAAGGAAAUGGCUCUGGCUCUGCGGCAGCCCGCGCUGCACAGUGCAGGACCCCCACUUCCUCCAGCUGAGGGGCAGACUGUACCCCAUGACACGUGCUGCUGCCCAGCACUCCCCAGUCCCCAGGUGUGAACUGGGGAGCCCCAAAGUCGGGCAAAGGGAAAUGUGGGGGCUCAGCCAGGGGCCGAGCCGUAGAAGGGCAACUUGGUGUGGGAAGAGAGCCUUUGAGAAACCCAGUUAAAGACUAGAAAAACAAGCAGGUAGAGCAUCCAAGCUGGCCUGGGGCAGAGCAGAGAAUGGGGAGUCCCAGCCCAACCCGAAGGGAGGGAGUGAAUGGGCCCAAAGCUGCAUUUUUGGCCUGUGGUAAGGGGGAGUUGAACAAAGUGUGAGGUGAGCAGGGGCAGCCUCAGGCCAGCAGGAGGGACAGAGAUGAUUCGGUUUAGAGCCUUUGCUCACUUUGGGGGUUAUUUAUCUCGUGUUCCAAGUUUCUAAGUACAUUUUGUGCCUUUUAUUGAGUGUGAGAGAAGUAAGGAAAUAGUGGUUUUGAGCGAAGGGAAACCAAGAAGCAUUUCACUUGUUUUUUCAUUUUUGCAGUAUGGAUUUUCCUGGCCCCACCCUCGGCCAGGCGACAUCUGUGAGCACUUCUGUCCUUUAAGCAAUUCAAGCCACAGGAGAAUUUUUCUUUCCCAGGGAGCUGAAAUGGAAAAUCAGCACUAAUAAAUUAGCAUGCCCCGUGGCUGUA